GAUUACUUAACUAUAAAAGUAUAUAUUUUGAAAAUAUAAAAAAGAUAAAAUCUAGUAAUCU
rnacentral:tRNA from 1 species